CAGCUACUGAAUCAUAGAAUUUCUUAAAAUUCAUGAUGUCGUAAGGGAAAAUAAUGAUAGCACCUUACUAUGAGUGUCGUCCAAAUCUGGUGCCAGAAGACUCGGUAAGACCAGAGACGCAAACGUUAAUCAUCAUAAACAGGCGUAAAGGGUUUGUAGGCAGCUCCCACCCCCAGCUGGGAAGAAGAUAUACAAAAUAAAGUGUUCUAAUUGGGAGCUAGAAUCAAAAAGAGGUUAUAGUGUAUAACGCCUAGAGGAGGGCUGAUAUCCAUAGAUCCUAGGCAGAAUACUCAGGGCGAAGGCCACUCUCCACUAAUGAUUGACGCUGAGAAACGAAGGUUAGGGUAGGAAAUAGGAUUAGAUACCCCGGUACUCCUUUCUGUAAACGAUGAAUGGUAGUCAUUAGUCUACGGACUAGAGACGAAGUUAACACAAUAACCAUUCCGCCUUGUGAGUACUACUGCAAAGUAGAAAACAAAAAAAUUAGUCGGUCUCGAAGCAAACGGAGUGAAGCAUGUUAUUUAAU
rnacentral:rRNA from 2 species